UGCCGAUCUAGGCCGCAACCUGGUCUUCCAGCCGCGCUUCCGCGGGAUUUUCUUUUGUCGCGAUGCCAGCUCUUCUAAGUGCCUCAGAACUCCGAGAAUCUGCAAACAUCUCUCUUCUUGCACAGCUGUCUGUUCUCUCUCGGCAGCCGCCCGACACUGGGGCUGCACGGCCUUGCUUCUUCACGGACACGUGGAGAUGGAUGGAAACUUCUCCUGUGGUCAGCACCUUGGAUUCUACAGCAGCCAGCCAGCUGGUCCCUCCCCUACACUGCCUCUCCAGCUCUCCCUGCUGCCAGUGCAGAGCCCUGCUGUUCUGGUCUGUGCCACAUGCUGGCAGACAAAUGCCACAUUGAAGACAAUCAAUAAUAGUUGGCACAACAGAUAAAACAGACACGCUCCACCACUUUUAGGAGAUCUCCAAUCCUUUUCCUAGAGGACUUCUAAUGAGGUGUGCAUAAACUGGAAGCUGUCUAUUAGGAACACCUGUGUGAUAUCAGCUUGCGUGGGAGAACCUGGUGCUGGAGCCUGAGUGUUUUGUCUGCCUCCCGGUUCUCACCCUUAAGUCCAGGAACUGCCAAGCAAGUCCCAAGCCUGACAGUCAGUUUUCUCGGGAGAGCUUGGAUCUGAGUGCGCUGAGUUGUCUCAGUGAUGAUCCUAUUAGUGUUGUCCAGGAACUCUAGGAGCAGAAAAUGGAGAGUGAGGCCAUCAGAGGAAGUGUAAUUGGAGCUGUGGCUGUCCCUGCAGGCUGCUCAGAGCAUUGAUGACCGCUCCUCGCCCUUGGAAGAAUUUGGAUCCACACUGGCUGUAGCCUGUUCCUCCAGCCCAGCCUUGCCCACCCCCUGACAGCACAGUUAGCUCAUCAGUGGGCAGAUUCACGGAGGAGCACAGAGCCCUCCUGACACAGUCACCUUCCAAAUGCAUGUGAACUUAGGAGAACAUUUUAGGUCUAAAUGAUCACAGUGUGUACCUUUCUGAAGAAAAGGCAUUUAGAAAUAUAGUGUUUUUGUGUUCCAAGUUAAAAAACAGUGUCACUACUAAAGAAUUAGGAUUACAGACUUUGAUUUGUAAAAUAAUACAAUUAAGUACAGUAGGUUUAAAGGUUACUUGUAUUUGGAUAAUACUAGGCAUUUUAAAAUAAAACUCCCUCAAAGUGGAGUUCAUUGGGGGAAUUAGAAACUAUUGCCACGUAAAUAAAAUUGUGUGUUUUAGAAUGGUA